CUUGCCAACAAAGGAAGUUGAGCCAAAACCAAGGUUUGUCAAAAGAAGCCAGAUGACUCCACAGUCUUUACAUCACCACUCCAUCACCAUAGCCACUGGAUGUUCCCACACCUCUCCCUCCAUCUGCACUUCAUGGCUUGAUACCUUGCAGUGAUGAUAUGAGUAAUCAUGAUGCCACCAUGUGCCAAGAAUUACCCACAUCCUAUUUUCCCCUUACCCCUCUGAAGGAAAUAACCUCUGUGUUCUUGAACAUAUACACAACCCAAUCCCAAAAUCCUGCUUUGAGAUUCUGUUUUCGGAGCAUAAAUUGAACCAACUU
rnacentral:lncRNA from 1 species